CCUACGGGAGGCUGCAGUAGGGAAUCUUCCACAAUGGGCGAAAGCCUGAUGCAGCAACGCCGCGUGGGUGAAGAAGGUCUUCGGAUCGUAAAACCCUGUUGUUAGAGAAGAAAGUGCUUGAGAGUAACUGUUCACGUUUCGACGGUAUCUAACCAGACAGCCACGGCUAACUACGUGCCAGCAGCCGCGGUCAUACGUAGGUGGCAAGCGUUAUCCGGAUUUAUUGGGCGUAAAGGGAACGCAGGCGGUCUUUUAAGUCUGAUGUGAAAGCCUUCGGCUUAACCGGAGUAGUGCAUUGGAUACUGGGAGAAUUGAGUGCAGAAGAGGAGAGUGGAACGCCAUGUGUAGCGGUGAAAUGCGUAGAUAUAUGGAAGAACACCAGUGGCGAAAGCGGCUCUCUGGUAUGUAACUGACGCUGAGGUUCGAAAGCGUGGGUAGCAAACAGGAUUAGAUACCCCGGUAGUC
rnacentral:rRNA from 1 species